rnacentral:misc_RNA from 1 species
UCGAUCAGUCGGUAGCGACGCGUCCCGGGCGCAAGUCGCUUCAUUAGCGAUGUUGUUUAGUGUUUCUCGCGACUGUGGCCUUCGGGCAAACGUUCGCGAUGCUGUUCCUUGUCAUCAUCCCCCGUUUCGCGCUGCCAUUGGCACUCUCGUCAUUCUUAUUCUUAUAUCUUUGCAACCGGCUUUCUCGCAAGAAAGUCUGGCGAAUCGUAUGAGAGUGAUCAGCGAAGAUCUCGAUCGACAAUUGAAUGAUAUUAUGGCAUCACAAGCUGUUAAUUAUACCACCGUCAACACGACAGGACUACCCUACAACGCCACCACAAAGUUCAAUCCUAAGGGAAUGGGACAGCUUUACAACGUCACCAACAUGUUCAUCGAUGUUGUUCAAAGUAAACAGGCUUAUCCAGAAGGAAUGAUCACUGUAAUAUCCAACACCCCAGUCUUCGUGGAUCCUUGGCACCAGUGGAAGAUAAUAGUGGCCCAUUACGGUGGUUUAGCCGGUCUCGCUUUGAUUGGAGUCCUCCUUGCAGCCAUACUUCCUUGCAUCGGCCUUUUUUUUUGCUGCUGCAGAUGCGCUGGACAUUGUGGAGCCAAAAAUGAGCCCUUCGAUAAAAAGCACGAUCAUUGUAGAAAAAUAAUGCUCAGCAUUAUUCUCAUCGGGGUGGCAACUAUUAUUCUAUUCGGCGUUGUUUGCGCGUUCGUUACAAAUGAAUAUAUGCAAGACGGUACCAAGGAACUUCCUAGCAACGUUAAAACUAAUUUAAAAGACGUUAGACUUUAUUUAUCCACGACAAAACGUGAGAUAAACACUGUUCUAAAAACUAACUACGGCGAAUUAGAAAUCACGUUGAACAACAUUUUGCAAGCAAGCGGGAGAAUAGUCACCGAACAAUUAGCCGAGUAUUCUCACGCAGUUUCAUUGACAAAUUUGAACGACAUAGUGACCGGUUUGGAAUCGAUCAGGGAAGAGCUACGUUCUAUGAAUAGGAUAACGCAGGAAUUGAGGAUGAAUGCUAGUCAAUUGGACAUCGUUGUGCGCGGUGUCAAGAACAAUCUGCUUUAUACGCUUCGCGAUUGUACGAGCCACAACUGUAAACAGAUCUUGCACGACUACAAGGUGAACCAAAUGUCGGUCCAAAUAGAAUUCGACAAGUACAUGGACCGAUACUUCCCAAAGCUUCACUCUCUACCAGAUCUUACCUCCGCUCUACAUAACAUUACAAUACUGAUGGAAAGUAAUAUCGUGUCGGAAGUGAGUCAGGGUAGAGAAUCCUUCUUAAAAAUCCAGAAGGACAUACAGCAUGCGGUGAAUCAAACUAUACCUGUCGUUAGUGCGAGCAUUAGAAGAGCCGGUGAUUUUCUGGCAAGCAUAGCAAACAAUAUGACCAGUUUAAUCGAUAGAAUAAACGUUGACAUCGAUAGGGUUUACAUUCAACAUUUAGAAGUGGCACGUAGUUACGUCCUCCAGUACUCACCUUAUAGGUACUAUCUUGGCCUUGGAAUUUCGGGUAUUCUUUUGACCGUUUUAAUGUGCUUGACGUUUGGUCUGCUUUGCGGAAUUUGCGGUAAACGACCGGAUGGAUACGGUGAUGACUGUUGUAAUAAAGGAUCCGGUGCACGGUUUCUUAUGAUGGCCGUAUGGAUAAUCUUCCUUUUGACGAGUGUUUUAAUGGUAAUCACAGUGGUGCAUAUGAUAACAGGAGUUUUAGCACAACGAGGUAUUUGUGAACCAUUAAAAAAUCCUAAAGACAAUAGAAUGUUUAAAUUAGUGGACGAAAUAGUGCAGAUCCGAAGAAUACUCGAUCCCAAGAAUCCUAAUUUUGAUAUCAACAUGAGCUACAUAAUCACCAAAUGUCACGCUAAUGAGACUCUAUACAACGUAUUGAAGCUCAACAAUUUGUUCGACGUCGAUACUUUACGCAAUUAUACAGGACGGUACGACAUUAAUGACACGAUUCAACAGUUGCGUCGUAAGAUAAAUCUGUCACCAGGGGUAGUGAUCCUGAAGGAGAGCGCCAGAUCGAAACUCAACGAUCUGGCGCAAAGUGGUCUGAGCGAUAUCAAGUUUUAUCAGUAUGCCGAACUUCUUGCCGACAAUAUAACGAAUAUUAAUUUGGAACACCUGGCAUCGAAAUUAAGAGAUGUGUCCACAAAAUUGUCAUCAGGCCAAGAGGAUAUCAGAGAUAGCCUUUUGAAGAAUGCUCAUGAUUUGGAACAUUAUCACAGAGACCUUGUGGUACCUAUGGCAACAUUAAGCGAGAAACUUAGCGAGAAUGCGUUAGCUCUUCAAGAAAGUAUCAAAUUUAAUCAUAGCUCGAUGGCCGAGGCUAUUCACAACUUGGUCGAGGAAGUUACAAAAGCUCAAAAAUUUUUAAACAAGGACGGACCGGAAUACGUUCAAUACCUUGCUACGAAAUUUGGUAACGCUUUUCUUCAUCAAGUUGACGACUUCCUCGAGCAUGUAAUCGACAGUGCUCGCAACAAAGUUGGCAGAUGUCAACCGGUGUCUAAUGCUUACAAUGCAACUCUUGUAGCUGGAUGCAAUAAGAUUUUAGAUCCAUUUAACGGUUUCUGGGUAAGUGUUGGUUGGUGCUUGAUCCUCUUCCUACCAACGAUAGUACUUUGCGUAAAAUUGAGUGCUUUGUAUCAAAAGUCCGAUCCAUAUCCAGGACCUCUUGUCGAAAAUGACUAUUUGUAUGACGCGUACGCAGACAGGGAUAACAUACCCCUCGCUCACGUACAUGAUAAAAAACAUGUCUCCCAUGGUAGACAUCAUCCUGCGGCUUACGUUGAAAGUUACGAUGGUCCAGCUGUUGGAUACAGUGAUCGUGAAAGGAUCACAGAUGCUCAUCAAAGUACAUCCCAUCACGAUUCUAGAUACUCCGAUUUAGCGCCGAAGUGAGUGGGAACCUUGCGGGGGGGGCAACUUCUCGCGUCUCUUGAUACGCCUCUGCACAAAUUGGGACUUUCCAAAUGGUGGACCACCAAGAUAUCAACCCACUGCCGUUGCUCCUCCCUUAAGUACAGAAUACGAACGUCCACC